UGGGGAAUAUUGCACAAUGGGCGCAAGCCUGAUGCAGCCAUGCCGCGUGUAUGAAGAAGGCCUUCGGGUUGUAAAGUACUUUCAGCGAGGAGGAAGGCGUUGUGGUUAAUAACCGCAACGAUUGACGUUACUCGCAGAAGAAGCACCGGCUAACUCCGUGCCAGCAGCCGCGGUAAUACGGAGGGUGCAAGCGUUAAUCGGAAUUACUGGGCGUAAAGCGCAAGCAGGCGGUCUGUCAAGUCGGAUGUGAAAUCCCCGGGCUCAACCUGGGAACUGCAUCCGAAACUGGCAGGCUAGAGUCUUGUAGAGGGGGUUAGAAUUCCAGGUGUAGCGGUGAAAUGCGUAGAGAUCUGGAGGAAUACCGGUGGCGAAGGCGGCCCCCUGGACAAAGACUGACGCUCAGGUGCGAAAGCGUGGGGAGCAAACA
rnacentral:rRNA from 1 species